ACUCCUACGGGAGGCAGCAGUGAGGAAUAUUGGACAAUGGGCGCAAGCCUGAUCCAGCCAUGCCGCGUGCAGGAUGACGGUCCUAUGGAUUGUAAACUGCUUUUGCACAGGAAGAAACAACAUUACGUGUAAUGUCUUGACGGUACUGUGAGAAUAAGGAUCGGCUAACUCCGUGCCAGCAGCCGCGGUAAU
rnacentral:rRNA from 2 species